UGGGCAAACUGUAAUUAAAAACUAGGGC
rnacentral:piRNA from 1 species